rnacentral:lncRNA from 1 species
CAAGAUUCAAUUGGGUUGUAAUCAAGUACUUUCUUCUAUAUGCCCCCACAAGAUGGAGUGCCAAGAGGAGAGUUUGAUCUUGUCACAAAGAAGAAGAUAACGUACACGUGGAAGAAGUUUUGUGAGGCCAUCCGCUAGCUAAUCAUUGGAGGAUAUACGAGUAACUCAUAGUACUCCAUUUUGGACAUCUUAAACAAAUGUAGUAAUGGCAACAUGUUUCAUUCGAGAAUGAAAAAUAGGAUUGCAACAUAAGUGUGUUGCACCAACAUUAUCACAAUAGAUUAUAGGCAAAGCCGGAAUGGUAAUCCCAAGUUUUGUUAAAAAAAAAAAAAAAAAAAAGGGGUCAUACCCAGUGAAGUUCAGCAACAGGGGUUGAAACUAAGCGAUACUCAGCUUCUGCCAAUGAUAGAACAACUUUACAUUAUUUCUUUGAGCUCCAAGAGAUAGGAUUAUGACCAAUAAAAAUGAUAUAGGCAUUAAACAGAAGUGUAGUCAUCUCGAUUACCAGCCCAGUUAGAAUCAGAGAAGGCAUGAAGUGUUAAGGAGGAGUCGCGAUGAAAAACCAAGCCAUGAUCAGAUGUACUACAUAAAUAUUGUAGAAUGCAUCGUACUCCUGUCCGGUGAUCACUGGUGGGAUGGUACAUGAACUGAGAUAAUUUUCCACUGUAUAAGCAAUAUUUGGUCGAG